GAUGAACGCUGGCGGCGUGCUUAACACAUGCAAGUCGAACGAUGAAGCUCAGCUUGCUGGGUGGAUUAGUGGCGAACGGGUGAGUAACACGUGAGUAACCUGCCCUUAACUCUGGGAUAAGCCUGGGAAACUAGGUCUAAUACCGGAUAGGAGCGUCCACCGCAUGGUGGGUGUUUGAAAGAUUUAUCGGUUUUGGAUGGACUCGCGGCCUAUCAGCUUGUUGGUGAGGUAAUGGCUCACCAAGGCGACGACGGGUAGCCGGCCUGAGAGGGUGACCGGCCACACUGGGACUGAGACACGGCCCAGACUCCUACGGGAGGCAGCAGUGGGGAAUAUUGCACAAUGGGCGAAAGCCUGAUGCAGCGACGCCGCGUGAGGGAUGACGGCCUUCGGGUUGUAAACCUCUUUCAGUAGGGAAGAAGCGAAAGUGACGGUACCUGCAGAAGAAGCACCGGCUAACUACGUG
rnacentral:rRNA from 1 species